rnacentral:rRNA from 1 species
UGGCGGACGGGUGAGUAACGCGUGGGUAACCUGCCUCAUACAGGGGGAUAACAGUUAGAAAUGACUGCUAAUACCGCAUAAGACCACAGCACCGCAUGGUGCAGGGGUAAAAACUCCGGUGGUAUGAGAUGGACCCGCGUCUGAUUAGGUAGUUGGUGGGGUAACGGCCUACCAAGCCGACGAUCAGUAGCCGACCUGAGAGGGUGACCGGCCACAUUGGGACUGAGACAUGGCCCAA